GUGAAUCAUCGAAUUUUUGAACGCAAAUUGUGCCUUUUUCGAAAGGCAUGUCUGUUUGAGGGCACCAUUUAACAAAUAAUGUGCAGCGGUUUUUGUUGCACACGUUGAUGAGCUUUCCAAGAAUUUUAAAUUUUUGGUGGCGCAUAAUGAACAGCGUGAAGCUUUUUUUUUCGGUUGGGGGGAAGUAAAUUUUUUCCCGGGGUUGGAAAAAC
rnacentral:misc_RNA from 1 species